GAAUCUUGCGCAAUGGGCGAAAGCCUGACGCAGCAACGCCGCGUGCGGGACAUGAAGGCCUUCGGGUUGUAAACCGCUUUUACCAGGAACGAAAAUGGCGGUACCUGGAGAAUAAGGUGCUGCCAACUACGUGCCAGCAGCCGCGGUAACACGUAGGCACCAAGCGUUGUCCGGAUUUAUUGGGCGUAAAGAGCUCGUAGGCGGUUCAGUAAGUCGGGUGUGAAAACUCUGGGCUUAACCCAGAGACGCCACUCGAUACUACUGUGACUAGAGUUCGGUAGGGGAGCAGGGAAUUCCUGGUGUAGCGGUGAAAUGCGCAGAUAUCAGGAGGAACACCGAUGGCGAAGGCACUGCUCUGGGCCGAAACUGACGCUGAGGAGCGAAAGCGUGGGUAGCAAACAGG
rnacentral:rRNA from 1 species